ensembl:lncRNA
ACACUGAGCCCAAGAGUGCAACAGUGACAAAUAUUCUGACAAUAGUAGUGAUGACCACAAUAGUGUCUCUGUGUCUCUUAAUAUCACUGACCGUCUGUGUCAUUCUGUAUUUCAAAAAACGAAGAUGCAAAUCCAACAGCCAAACUCAGCUAAAUGUAUAUUACUCCUAUGUUGCAGAUGGGUUUGAUGUACCAUUGCAUUCUUUAACUGGACAAAACACAGCAACAAUGACCACCUGUAAGUUAAUGCAAAGCAUUAUUUCUAUACACAUGCUACACUGAAAACGUAACCUAUUUAAAUGAAUGAAAUUAAUCUUCAGUUUGUUUAAACAAUUCACACAGAAUUUGCAAAUGUAAACUUGAUUCAAAUAAUACAUUAACUGAUUUUUCUUUAAUAAUGGCAGGUAGUGUCAAAAUUAAUUUUUUAACUUUAUCUCCCAACAGUUGGUGCUGAACAAUCAGAAGCUCCUGCAUUUAAACCAGAUGACAUGUAUGAAAAGUUAACACUGUGAAACGAAUAUUGGCAUUUUUAAACUUUUGUGAUGUCAAAGUCUUUUUUAAAAAUCAGCAGUUAGUAAUUACAUGACAUCUCUCACAAAUUUUAAUAAAGGGGAACAUCUUUUAUACUCA